ensembl:lncRNA
GUUGACACGAUCACGGAAGAGGCGGAAGACGCACGGAGGAAACAUAUUUAAACAACAUUAAAUGUUAAUGUUUUUAAUAAAGUACAAAUCAGAUAAUCUCAAACCCAGGAUCUAUCGAUGAGGAAGUUUAAAGUUUGUUUUAAAGCUGAAGAAGGAAAAGUCCGAACACGGAAAUGAGAGCUGGGAGGUCUGCGUGUCUCUGCUGGAGUUUGCUGUCUGUCUGCGUCCUGCUGGUCUCUGCAGACUGGAAAAUCAUCACAGCGGAUACUGGACAGACUGCCACUCUGUCGUGUCGAGGUCCAAACAGCGACAUCACAGGUGUGGAGUGGAGCAGAGCUGACCUGAAGACACAAUAUGUCCUUUUGUACCGGGACCAGCAGCUUGAUUCAGCAAACCAGCAUCCAAAUUUUAAGGACCGGGUGGAUCUGCAGGACAGACAGAUGACGGAUGGAGACGUGUCUUUGAUUCUGAAGGAUGUGAAGAUUGAGGACACGGGAACAUAUGAGUGUCGUUUGUUAGAUGGGAAGUCCAUCAGCAGCAUCUACCUGAGAGUUGUUCCUGCAGGUGAGUCAGACAGGAGGACAGAGUGGAGACGGAGUGAACGAGGAUGGAUUUGUUGGACUGAAAGCUGGUCUGCCCCUUCCUGCGAUGUUCAUCAUUGCUGGUGUUUUUUUAAUUUACCGAAAACAUAAAAAACGCAGGCGUCACGGUUUGUACUAUCAUGUGUGAACUGAAACUCUUUGUUGCACUACAUGAAGUAGGAAAAUGGUGGAGUGGUUUACAGUGGAGAUGUGGCCAUUACUUUUAUUUAUUGUUUGCACAGAAGGACAACAGAGCAAUGCUAAACUGUAGUAUGCUGGUAACAGAACUUUGGCUCUUUGCAACCAUUUGCACAGACAGUAUGCUAAUGCUAAGCUAAGUUAGCCAAUAACCCUGAGUGUUGCUGAAACUGGGUGUAUGCAGACCCCAGCCCAGCAGCCAGAGUCUGAACUGUAACAGGUAACAAAGGCAGAGAUGAUCAGUCAGACUUGAAAUUGCUGUUUCUACCUGUCCAUGUUUCUACAGUGGAGCAGCUGGUGAUCGCUUUGAAGUCUCUUUGGGCUGCUUUGUGUUGAAACCUUAAUAAUAAAAGAAAGAUCAUAUGUGUGUCCUCAUUAGGAUAGGGAUUUCUGUUGGUGUGUGGGACAGGGUGUCAUGACACCAAAGCUAGUUAUAAGACACAAACAGGAGAAGCAAACUGAGCUGUUAGAGUUCAUGACAGAAACUGAGUAAUAUGUCAUGUGACCUUGAUUUUUCCCUUUUCUCGGUGGCGGUUUUGUGAGGUGCAGAACUGUUGGACGAUUGUAAAGCUGAGAUCACAUGAACUCAGAUUAUAUCAAGUAAUUAGUAGACAUGGAAGUAUUUUUUUCUUCUCUCCAAAGUGUUAAGUGUUUUCUCUUAAAGGUGAAGCCAGUUUUCCUCUCUAUGAAUUAUAAUGUAAGAUGUCCUGGUUUUACAGUUUUGUAAACAAAUCUUUAUAUUUUAUAAGCUAAUGCUAAAAAAAAAUGUUUUAUUUGUGAAUGUGAAGAUAUCCUGUAAAUUGUCAGAUUAAUGUAACUAUUACAGUAAAAUGACUCUUUGCACAGAUAAAGAUUUACCUCCAUGUGUGAGUGAUGGAAGCAGAUGCUGUAUAGACAUAUUUGUGUUCACUGAAAGUCAAGACAAGAACGUCUCGUGUGGUGUGCACAUUUAAAAACAGGGUCUAAAAGGUAAAGAGGAUUGGGUAGACAGAGGAUGGAGGGUGGAUAAUUUUUUAUACAUGCAAAUAAGAAAAAAUGAUUAUAAUUAAGGAUUAAACCAUAUCGCUGUGCAUUCAUGCUACUGGAAGGAUUCAUUCAAUAGGAUAACAUCAACUUACAUCACUAAUGCAUUUAGUAUUUAAGUAUUUUCUUUAAAGUGAACAUAAAACGCUACAUGUAAAAAGGCUAAUCUACACCACGAAGCCACGCUCUAAAAAGCUUUCACAGAUUUAACACUGUCUGUGACGCUGGAAAUAAAGUUUCUAUUUGUAGAGUAUGUUUGGCACCAUGUUGUGCAAGUACAGCAUGUGAUGUUACUGGGUUGGUCGGCUAAUAGACUUCUAUUCAUUUAUGUUUGCUAACUAGCGACAGAUCAGAUCACUUAGUGCAAAGCAAGAAUACGAAAACUAAAAUCAGCAUUAGUUUUGUGAACCACCAGUGUACCUGACUCAAACAGGCUCUCCUCCUCAUUCUUAACACAGGUGGAUUCUCAUGUUUCAGUUCAGCUAGCCGACGUUGAAGAAUCACUUACUGCUAAAGAGACAGAGAGUGAAAGUGGACAGUUUAUCCUCAGUUUCUUAGUAUAAAAUAACUCAUUGUUGCAGACAGGGACAGUACAAAAUCAUCCCCUUAGACUGGUUUUUAGUUUUAGUUUCUAUGUUUUCUGCUAAGUUAUUGGUUAUGUCGUUAGUUAGCUAACAUAAACUUAUGCAUGUCUGUGAGUUGCAAGCAAUCAGCCAACCCAGUGAUGUCACGCUCUGUACUGACACAAGAUGGUGCUUAAUAAAAUGAAUCUUUAAACACUCACUAUUUUAAAUCCAGCUUCAGAGACAGUGUUACACCUCUGACAGUCUUUGACAGCAGGGCUCCAUGGUGUAAACUAACCUUUACACAUGUAGUGUUUUAUGUCCACUUUAAAUACAAUGCAGGGAUUUAGUGUAACACAUGGGAUACGUCCAAGUGAACACGUUGGUAAUUACUUAAAAGUCUUCUUAACUUACAAAGUUUUUCUGUCAGGCUGUAAAGAUGUCGUUAUAUAAACUUUGACAGGUGACAGGAUAUGAUGUAUGCUGCUGUAGUGAAACUGGAAUGGGGUUUAAAACAGAUUUUAACACAGAUAAUUUAUGCACUUUUUAAUUUUAUGAUCCUUAAGACUUUGAAAAAGUAUUUUCAUGAAGUCAGAUCUCCUAUCGUGAGAGCACAGGGUGCGCUUUACUGUGACAUCAGAGGCUGAGGAGGGGGAGAAGCUUCCACUUUAUCUUUGUGGUAAAACAUUUCACUGUGUUUAAAGACAUGAAUAAAAACUGUGUUAAAUCAG